rnacentral:lncRNA from 1 species
GGUCUUCAAUAAUCGUAGCUAGCCUCUCGAAAAAGUUAGGGUUCGAAAGAGAAGUGUUUCUAUAUAUAAAUUCUGAAAACAGGGCCAACUUGUCGAGUUUUUUUAUAAUCCGUGUAUACAACGUGUACGGCAAGGCAUCUUCGAAUCUGGAACAUUCUGACCAACUCGUCGAGUUCUCUUGGAAUCAACAUUUUCUCAAAACAUGAAAGUCGUCCGAAAUUGUAUGUAGUUUUCAGAACAUUUUGAAUCUUGUCAACCAGAGUUACGUUUCAUGAGAUAUGGCUAAAACACUGACAAGUGGUCAAGCUGUCCAGCAACAUCAUUAUUACUUCAAAAUCCAAGAUCCAAGCUUUCAAUCGCCAAUUCCGCUUCCUUUUCCUUCCGAGCACGUCUUUAUUGCUGAAAAUGAAAUAUUUAAGCUAAUUAAGCACCUUUUGUUCAUUAAAUGAGAUAAAAUCAACAUAAAGUAUUAAGAUAAUGCAUGCAAUUUAUAACUAAAUAUGCCCAUAUCAGUCGCAGGUGUUUUUGGCGUACGCCUAACGUAGAGGAGGUAUGCGCAGUGUACGUCCAUUGUUCAGAAACCCCAACUUUUAGGGUGAGCCACUAUUUAAAGAAGAUAAUGGCUCAAACCCUAGCCUCCUUAUCUAUCUCCCAGCCUUAGAGAAACCAUAGAACGCCUCAUCUAUUCAUCCUUGGGUGAUUUUGACUUCAAGAAGCUCAUUUUGGUGGUGUAAGCUUGGAAAAGGAAAAGAAGAAGUUGGCAAGGAAGAACUUGGGAAGUUAGAGCUCAUAGAUCUGGGGUAGCAUCAUCAUUUGGGACUCCUUGGAGGUAUAAAGUUCAUAACUUUACUUAAGAAUGCUUAGAUCUAGUGUAGUGUAGUUUUGGAGUCAUUUUGGUCCCAAAAAUGGACCUUUAUGAUGAAAUCUUGUUUGUGAGCUUAGGGUUGCCACCCUUAGAGCUAAAAGUGUCCCAUAAGCAGUAAAGUCUCCAUCUUGAAUGUAUUAAUGGGUUCAUGCAUGAGAUCUAGCACUCUUUAUGGAAGUGGAAUAUCAUUUUUGGGAGUUUGGGCUUGUUUGGGCCAAGUAAAGUCACCAAGUUAGUGACUUUAUGGAUUAAGACGUGGAACAGGACUUAGAUCUGUGUUUGUAGCUUCUGGAAUAGAGUAUUAAGCACUUAAUGGGAAAGUGACUUAACAGGGAAAGUACGUUGAGUGUACAUGCAGGUACGCCCAACGUACACACCAUUUAGCUAGUACACUUAUCGUAUAUAGGAGUAUGCCCCCACGUACUCUGUUAGUUUGGGCUUCGUAUUCUUGGGCCUCAGAUUGGGCUAUGCUUUGGACUUUGGGCCUUAGUGGGCCAACAGAAGUCAGAUGAUGUGGGCCAAGAAGAUGUUUGGGCUUAGGGUAAGGCCCAUUAGAGGGAUUGGGCCCAAUUUAGCAAAUUGGGCCAUUAGUGGGCUUGGGAAGCUUACUUAGUAUUGGGCCUUAGUUUUAGGCCUUAGAUAUGGACCAAGUUGGACUAGGGGUAGAAUGGUCGUUUUAUCCUAAGAAGGAUUAUUGUAUUGGACUAAGUGAUGUUUGGUAUUGGUAGUUCGGGAAGCCGAAGGGUCAGCAAUUCGGGAAUUGCCAGUCAGUAGCCAAAGGAGUAUCAGUAGGGUUCAGCAGUGCAAGGUGAGUCUCUUCAUUGUGUGCAUGGGUCACGCCCACAGUGCCGACCCAUUAUACUUGUGUACAGUAGGAAGACCCGGGGGUUAUCCCUAAGCAUUUUAUGAUGUGUGCCAGGCGAGGCCCGAGGAAUGUUAGUAUGCUAGAGGUAGUUGUGAUUCUUGUAUGUGUCAGUGUUUAUAGGUUCUGGACCAAGGUCUGAUGCCGGGGAAAGCCCAAAGAGCGUUUAUGGUAGCAUGGUUUCGGACCAAGGUCCGAUGCCGGGGCAAGCUCGAGGAAGGUUUAUAUGUUGAAUGUUAGAUUAUACUUGUUGUAUUUGUGAUACUUGUAUGUGUCUGGUAGGGAGGUGAGUGUGGGCGAGGUCCCGUAUCUCAUCACUAUCCGAGUAUGGUCGGGGUUCCGUAUCUCAUUAGUAGCAGUGCAGGGGCGAGGACCGAGUUAGGAGGGAGGUGAGUGUGGGCGGGGGCCUGUAUCUCACUACCAGGAGGAGCAUGGACGGGGUUCCAUGACUCAUCAGUAGUAGGACAAGGGCGAGACCCAAGUUAGGCGAGGCCUUAGAUCGGGAGUAUAGUAGAGUAUGUUAACUAUUUGUUAUGUGUUAUGUUAUAUGUUUGUAUGUGUUUUUUGGGCGAGACCCAGAGACAGGAGGGGCCUAAGAGAAACAGAUUUGUAUACCGAGCGGGGCUCGAUGCCAAGCGGGGCCCGAUGCCGAAGCUAGUCCGAUGUUGGGCAAGUCCCGAUGCAGCGGGCGGGGGCCAAGUAUGUGGUUUUGUUUGUGGUAUGUGGUAGGUUGGGGAACUUACUAAGCUUCGUGCUUACAGUUUUCAGUUUUGAUUUCAGGUUAAAAAUAAAUAUAAAAUCAAAUGAAUUUUGAUCGUUAUCAUGUAAGUGUACUCCUAUGUUGUACCUUUUUUUUAUUAAUAAAGGGAAUGGUUUGUUGUCACAUAUUUUUUUCUAAUUAAUUUAUUUAAACAAUUAAAUUUUCAUAAAAAUUAAAAUUUUCAUUAUUUAAUUUAUUAAACAAUUAAAUUUUCAUAAAAAUUAUAAUUUUCAUUAUUUAAUUUAUUUAAACAAUUAAAUUUAGAUAUAAGCUAUUAUCUCCAUUAGUUAAAAUAGGAAAUUGGCCUCACACAUACAACUUUCAUAUUGCUUAAACUAUAUAACGUUCGCCUUAUCGUUUUAGCUAUGUGCAUCAUCACAAAUUUAAAUGUUGUCGAAGAUUAAAAUGUAAAAAGUUGGGAAUUAUAUCGAAUAAAAUUGAAAAAAAAGGUAGUUGCUCCUAUUGAAUAAAAUUGAAAAUAAAAAGUAUUUAAAAAAAAAAACUAGCUAAUUUGCUAAGAUGGAGAGAGAUGACAAGAUUGUGCCGAAUUGAUAUGCAAAAAUUAGAAUGCCGAAAAGACAAACCUAUUUUUGUUGAGCGUGUCGAAUUCCCUAUGGUGUUAAGUUGAAGGGAGUCAUGCAUUGGGGUGUCGAACUUCACAUCAUCCAUUACCAUAUCCAAUACAAUGUCGAGGAAAGAAAAACGGCAAGAUCUUAGUCGAAGAAGACAGAAAAACUCAACAUGUUGAACAACGGAUGUGGUGUUACUGAAUGAACGUCAUCUUUCACAUCCUCAGUGCCGAGUUUGUGAAAUCCCCGCUCC